CAUCUCUGACGAUAGAUAAAAUAUUAAGAAUCGGUCCUAUUUCUCAAUUUGUAGUAAGCUGAGUUUAAAUUU